UACGUAGGGGGCAAGCGUUGUCCGGAAUCAUUGGGCGUAAAGAGCGUGUAGGCGGCCUGGUAAGUCCGCUGUGAAAGUCCAGGGCUCAACCCUGGAAUGCCGGUGGAAACUGUCAGGCUCGAGUCCGGAAGAGGCGAGUGGAAUUCCUGGUGUAGCGGUGAAAUGCGCAGAUAUCAGGAGGAACACCAAUGGCGAAGGCAGCUCGCUGGGACGGUACUGACGCUGAGACGCGAAAGCUAGGGGAGCAAACAGG
rnacentral:rRNA from 1 species